rnacentral:misc_RNA from 1 species
GAUGAAGAACGUAGCGAAAUGCGAUACGUCAUGUGAAUUGCAGAAUUCAGUGAAUCAUCGAGUCUUUGAACGCACAUUGCGCCCCCUGGUAUUCCGGGGGGCAUGCCUGUCCGAGCGUCAUUGCUGCCCUCAAGCACGGCUUGUGUGUUGGGCCUCCGUCCUCCUCCCGGGGGACGGGCCCGAAAGGCAGCGGCGGCACCGCGUCCGGUCCUCGAGCGUAUGGGGCUUCGUCACCCGCUCUUGUAGGCCCGGCCGGCGCUUGCCGACACAUCAAUCUUUUUUCCAGGUUGACCUCGGAUCAGGUAGGGAUACCCGCUGAACUUAAGCAUAUCAAUAAGCGGAGGA